rnacentral:rRNA from 1 species
CCUACGGGCGGCUGCAGUGAGGAAUAUUGGUCAAUGGACGAGAGUCUGAACCAGCCAAGUAGCGUGAAGGAUGACUGCCCUAUGGGUUGUAAACUUCUUUUAUAUGGGAAUAAAACGUUCCACGUGUGGGAUUUUGUAUGUACCAUAUGAAUAAGGCUCGGCUAACUCCGUGCCAGCAGCCGCGGUAAUACGGAGGAUCCGAGCGUUAUCCGGAUUUAUUGGGUUUAAAGGGAGCGUAGGUGGAUUGUUAAGUCAGUUGUGAAAGUUUGAGGCUCAACCGUAAAAUUGCAGUUGAAACUGGCAGUCUUGAGUGCAGUAGAGGUAGGCGGAAUUCGUGGUGUAGCGGUGAAAUGCUUAGAUAUCACGAAGAACUCCGAUUGCGAAGGCAGUUCACUGGACUGCAACUGACACUGAGGCUCGAAAGUGUGGGUAUCAAACAGGAUUAGAUACCCUGGUAGUC